rnacentral:rRNA from 1 species
UACGUAGGGCGCAAGCGUUGUCCGGAAUUAUUGGGCGUAAAGAGCUCGUAGGUGGCUUGUUGCGUCUGCCGUGAAAGCCCGUGGCUUAACUACGGGUCUGCGGUGGAUACGGGCAGGCUAGAGGCUGGUAGGGCAAGCGGAAUUCCUGGUGUAGCGGUGAAAUGCGCAGAUAUCAGGAGGAACACCGGUGGCGAAGGCGGCUUGCUGGGCCAGUUCUGACGCUGAGGAGCGAAGCGUGGGGAGCGAACAGG